AGCCUACCAAGGCGACGAUCGGUAGCUGGUCUGAGAGGACGAUCAGCCACACUGGGAUUGAGAACGGCCCAGACUCCUACGGGGGGCAGCAGUGAGGAAUUUUCCGCAAUGGAGGAAACUCUGACGGAGCAACGCCGCGUGCAGGAGGACGCUUUUCGGAGUGUAAACUGCUUUUCUGUGGGAAGAGAGUGGACGGUACCACAGGAAGAAGCCCCGGCUAACUACGUGCCAGCAGCCGCGGUAAUACGUAGGGGGCGAGCGUUGUCCGGAGUUACUGGGCGUAAAGGGCAUGCAGGCGGUCGGACGCGUUUUGUGUGACAGCGGGUGGCUUAACUACCCGAGUAUGCGAAAGACGGUUCGACUUGAGGGCUCGAGAGGGACACGGAAUUCCGGGUGGAGUGGUGAAAUGCGUAGAGAUCCGGAGGAACACCGAAGGCGAAGGCAGCGUCCUGGCGAGCGACUGACGCUGAGGUGCGAAAGCUAGGGGAGCGAACGGGAUUAGAUACCCCGGUAGUCCUAGCCGUAAACGAUGACCACCAGGUGUGGGAGGUAUCGACCCCUUCCGUGCCGGAGGAAACCCACUAAGUGGUCCGCCUGGGGAGUACGGUCGCAAGAUUAAAACUCAAAGGAAUUGACG
rnacentral:rRNA from 1 species